rnacentral:rRNA from 1 species
UAUUAUUUUAGCGGCGGACGGGUGAGUAACGUGUGGGCAACCUACCUUUUACUGUGGAAUAAUCGUUGGAAACGACGACUAAUACCGCAUACGAUUUUCUGAAGGCAUCUUUGGGAAAGGAAAGGAAAUAUUCGGUAAAAGAUGGGCCCGCAUCUGAUUAGCUAGUUGGUGAGAUAAUAGCCCACCAAGGCAACGAUCAGUAGCCGACCUGAGAGGGUGACCGGCCACAUUGGGACUGAGACACGGCCCAAACUCCUACGGAAGGCAGCAG